rnacentral:rRNA from 1 species
CCUACGGGAGGCAGCAGUGAGGAAUAUUGGUCAAUGGGCGCAAGCCUGAACCAGCCAAGUCGCGUGAGGGAAGACGGCCCUACGGGUUGUAAACCUCUUUUGCCGGGGAGCAAGCCUGAGCACGUGUGCCCAGGCGGAGAGUACCCGGAGAAAAAGCAUCGGCUAACUCCGUGCCAGCAGCCGCGGUAAUACGGAGGAUGCGAGCGUUAUCCGGAUUUAUUGGGUUUAAAGGGUGCGCAGGCGGGCUGUUAAGCCGGCGGUACAAAUUCAGGGCUCAACCCUGUCGAGCCGUCGGAACUGGCAGUCUUGAGUGGGCGAGAGGUAUGCGGAAUGCCUGGUGUAGCGGGGAAAUGCGUAGAUAUCAGGAGGAAUACCGUUAGCGAAGGCGGCAAUCUGGCUGGAAACUGACGCUGAGGUGCGAAAGCGUGGGUAGCAAACAGGAUUAGAUACCCGGGUAGUC